UGUGUGUGUGUGUGUGUGUGUGUGUGUGUGUGUGUUAUUGGGAGAGGGAAGUUAAGAGAGCAUGACCGUUCUUCGUAUCGUUCACCCACCAGAUGUCAGUGUGACCUUCAAAUGUUCUUUGAAAAAGCAAACACAUCAAGAAAAGUGUGUGUGAGCGUACUUGUGUGUGGGUGUGUGUGUCCUGGUUGGUUUGAUUGCAAAUGCUUGUGUUCUUCAAUUAUAAAAAACUAAAAGCAUAUUUGGAGAUAUGCUGCAAAGAAUGUACCUAUCUUUGUUUAAGCUGUGUCCGUGCGUAAGUUUUAUAAACUCAGCCGAAUGGAAUCCCAUCAGGACACUCUGGGAUCAUUGUAUUCACAUGUGUUUUUUGUCGUGUUCCUUUUACUGUUGAAAUCCGUGUGUAGCACUAAAACACAGGCCUGUUAGUUGUCAGAAAACUGUGCCAGUUUGAACUAGAGAAUCAGCCUUAACUCUAAAGACCAAGAGAUGCGGAUGCUAGUGGUAGCUUCCCAACUGCAAAUCAUGCACAGAGAGAUGUUGGAGACAACAAAAAUAGCCCAAUCUAAUCAUACUUUUUAUUCAGAGAAUAUGUCAUUCUUUUUUUGUGUGUGCAAUAUUUGCUUUUCUUUGAUGCAUGUGUAUUUGAAUAACUGUGUAUUGGAGGGGGAAAAAAAAUCAUGUUUUUUUAGAAAUUAAGAGAAUUUGAAAGAAUCCAAAAAAGACCUAAUCCUAACAACUCGCAUUCCGUUGUUGUAUAAUACUAAGUUUGUUUUAAAGACUUGUUUUAUAAGUCUGUCUUUUUGUUUGUCAUCACUCCCGGUUAAUAUCAUGUAUCAUGUACAAUUUCUGUUCGCAUGCUAUUGUAACCCCCCCCCCCCCCCCCCCCCCCGGAACCAUUGAAAGAGCACACUGUAUGAAAUUAGUUAAAUGGAAAUGUAUGAAACGCAUACGAACAUCAUGAUUACUUAUAUGAUGACUUAUGUGAGUGAGUGUGAGUGUUAUGUCACACUCACAGGUCAAGUCUACAGAGAAGAGUAAAAAGUGGCACUUGAGGGCUGAGGGCCUGGGCUAUGCCAGGAGCUGCCACAAGGGGGUGCUGGUGAUGGCAGUGCCCUCCCCUGCAUGGCAGUCUCGUGGGCACCUCCCUGGGCAUGCCUCGAUCUGAUUAUCAAAAAGAAAAGAAAAAGAGAAGGAACUCAAAUCUCUUGCCAGUGCAGACGACACAGCAGGGCUUUCUUUUCCACUAAUUGGGAGCUGGGAAAACAUCCUGCCAUCUUGUAUGACCAAUGAAAUAUAAGCACUUACUGAAUAAUAAUUACCACAAAACCUCAGACACCUUGCAUAGUUUUACCUGCCUGAUUUUGUCUUUCUUUUAGAACGCUGUGAUAUUGCCAGCUCUGGGUAGCCAUCAUUUGCUCUGAAUGGCCCUUUGAGGUGGCGCUUGUCCGAGGGCCAAUGACUGGCCAGCACUGACCCGCUGUAGUGUGCUGUGAUUCGGCCCGGUUCUGACCCAAACACAUUUUCCUCUGUGUAAAAGCCAAGUUCGGCUGUCCAUUUUCACCAUAACCUUCACUGGAGCUUUCACGUCUCUAUCCAUAUUUGGCUUCUACUUUUGAGCAAAAGCUUCCCAAACAAUGCAGGAUUGCUUGUCUUUUCUUUGUUUCUUUCCUUUUUUUCUAAAUCCCCAUACAUAUGAAUCAAUGAUACUGAAAUGUGCAUAUCGGUGUACAGUAUAUGUCAACAGUGUGCCUAAAUGUACUGUCAAUUAUAUUUUCUUAUUUUUCUUUAAGAAAAUGAAAAAAAAAAAUCAAUCCGAAUGUCAUGGUUGUUUUUAAUAGACUGAAAAGAGGACUCUAAGAGAAAAACAACAUUUAGAGUGUUUGCAUCAUGCUUCUGAAAUAUUCCUUUUGAGCAGCUCAACUCAGUAUAACACUAAUAAAACUUUAACUCUGACUAACGGAUUGCAUCUUUAAAUGUUCUUUUUAUUAGUCGUCC
ensembl:lncRNA